CAGCAGCAGCCGCGGUAAUACGGAGGGGGCUAGCGUUGUUCGGAAUUACUGGGCGUAAAGCGCACGUAGGCGGCUUGGUAAGUUAGAGGUGAAAGCCCGGAGCUCAACUCCGGAAUUGCCUUUAAGACUGCCGAGCUAGUAGGUGAGAGAGGUAAGUGGAAUUCCGAGUGUAGAGGUGAAAUUCGUAGAUAUUCGGAAGAACACCAGUGGCGAAGGCGGCUUACUGGCUCAUUCUAGACGCUGAGGUGCGAAAGCGUGGGGAGCAAACAGGAUUAGAUACCCCCGUAGUCCCUGUCUCUUAUAC
rnacentral:rRNA from 1 species